AUUGAACGCUGGCGGCAUGCCUUACACAUGCAAGUCGAACGGUAACGCGGGGCAACCUGGCGACGAGUGGCGAACGGGUGAGUAAUGCAUCGGAACGUGCCCGGUAGUGGGGGAUAACUGCUCGAAAGAGCAGCUAAUACCGCAUACGACCUGAGGGUGAAAGGGGGGGAUCGCAAGACCUCUCGCUAUCGGAGCGGCCGAUGUCGGAUUAGCUAGUUGGUGGGGUAAAGGCCCACCAAGGCAACGAUCCGUAGCUGGUCUGAGAGGACGACCAGCCACACUGGGACUGAGACACGGCCCAGACUCCGACGGGAGGCAGCAGUGGGGAAUGUUGGACAAUGGACGCAAGUCUGAUCCAGCAAUGCCGCGUGCGGGAAGAAGGCCUUCGGGUUGUAAACCGCUUUUGUUAGGGAAGAAAUCCUCUGGGCUAAUACCUUGGGGGGAUGACGGUACCUGAAGAAUGAGCACCGGCUAACUACGUGCCAGCCGCCGCGGUAAAAC
rnacentral:rRNA from 1 species